GCUUUUUCCUUCAAUCAAAUAGUUUUUAGUAUUUCAGAGUUGCCAUGGAAACCCUCUAAAGAUCAAAUUUAUCAUGAAAUGUUGUCUCUUACAUAUGUCGAUGUGUUUGUCUCUUUUUUGCACCGCUUAAAGUCCAAACCUUUUCUUGGCAUCUUUUUCUUGGAAGACUUCCAACUAAAGGGAAUCAAACAAAGAGGGUAAUCUGUAGUGGUGGUAUGAAUGUGGAUUGUGUUUAGUGUCCGGGGACUCUAUACGCAUUUGUUUUAUAGGUACAACUUUAGUAGAGUUGUGUAGUACCAUACUUUCUAAUGGGUGGGAACGAGAAUGGGGUAAUACCCGGAUCUAUUAUUUGUCUUUUUGACUAAUUUUCUUCUUCUUUUCUCAAUAAAAAACAUCAGAAUGGUUUAAUGCUUAUAUGACAUACAACCGUUUGAAAUAUUUGGUAGGUUAAAUAUUUAUGGCACAUCUCUGAUUAAUUAAUGGGUGUUGUUAACGAAUGUGUUCGGGGCAUUCUUUAAGCAAUUCAAAAUAAGUUGUACCUAUAAAACCUUGUGUUAAAGUUUACUGAUUUUGAAGUUUAAUGAUGAUGUGAAAUUCAUAAUUAUAUGGUUCAAGAAUUAGAAAAGUUUGUAAUUUAUAGAGAAGUGCAUAGCAUGCAUUUGAUGGAUCUUUAAGUGCCAAAUGGGGCGAUUAUUAUUAUUUCAAUAGAUUUAUAAGUGCCAAAUG
rnacentral:lncRNA from 1 species